GAAUCCAAUAUAUUUAAACAGGGUACUAUUGUUUCUUGGAAUACCAUAGCAAAUCAUCUUAGUACUUUUCUGAUGGCAAUAGGCACGUUUAACUUAAAUUUUUAAUUUACAAAAGAGGAAAAAGUAAACUGACAGGACCACAACUUGGUUACUCGAUUCCCUCGCUAGAAUUUUGGAUCAGCAUAACUCCCAGAGCCACAACCGAGGCGUAGAUGGAGUUGGGAACUUUCUGCAACACUUUGCCCACACCAGGCACGCCCUCAGUCGCCCUUUUUGCCGCCAUUGCCACUGCUGGAGCCACUACCAAUGCAAUCAACAGAUUAAGACUCACGGCAGCUACUGUAUCGGCUGUCAAUUUCCUGAUGAACUCGGCAAACUCUUCCCGGUCGAGCAGCCCAUCCAGGUUAACAUCAUAUUCCUGCAUCAUGGCUCUAAGGCUCUCCUUCGUCGGCGGAUCGUUAUGGCGCCCCGGCAGGUGCUUGUUGAUAUCAUUGUAUACGCAGAGGACGGCGAUGUAGACGUCCUCGAAGGAGAGGGCGACCUUGCCGGAGUCUUCCUUGAUGCGGUCGAACACCUUGUCCGUCAUCUUCCGGAUCUGCUUCUCCCUCCAUUGCCGCCCGUGAAGCUUCUCCUGCACAGUGGUCAAGAUCUGCCCCAUGGUUGAGGGAGGGAGACGAUGAUGGUGAUGU
rnacentral:misc_RNA from 1 species